CUGCUGUGCAGCAUGAGCAGGCUGGC
rnacentral:piRNA from 1 species